rnacentral:rRNA from 1 species
GAGAGAAGCUUGCUUCUCUUGAGAGCGGCGGACGGGUGAGUAAUGCCUAGGAAUCUGCCUGGUAGUGGGGGAUAACGUUCGGAAACGAACGCUAAUACCGCAUACGUCCUACGGGAGAAAGCAGGGGACCUUCGGGCCUUGCGCUAUCAGAUGAGCCUAGGUCGGAUUAGCUAGUUGGUGAGGUAAUGGCUCACCAAGGCGACGAUCCGUAACUGGUCUGAGAGGAUGAUCAGUCACACUGGAACUGAGACACGGUCCAGACUCCUACGGGAGGCAGCAGUGGGGAAUAUUGGACAAUGGGCGAAAGCCUGAUCCAGCCAUGCCGCGUGUGUGAAGAAGGUCUUCGGAUUGUAAAGCACUUUAAGUUGGGAGGAAGGGCAGUUACCUAAUACGUGAUUGUUUUGACGUUACCGACAGAAUAAGCACCGGCUAACUCUGUGCCAGCAGCCGCGGUAAUACAGAGGGUGCAAGCGUUAAUCGGAAUUACUGGGCGUAAAGCGCGCGUAGGUGGUUUGUUAAGUUGGAUGUGAAAUCCCCGGGCUCAACCUGGGAACUGCAUUCAAAACUGACUGACUAGAGUAUGGUAGAGGGUGGUGGAAUUUCCUGUGUAGCGGUGAAAUGCGUAGAUAUAGGAAGGAACACCAGUGGCGAAGGCGACCACCUGGACUAAUACUKACACUGAVBYG